rnacentral:misc_RNA from 1 species
GAUGAAGAACGCAGUGAAAUGCGAUAAGUAAUGCGAAUUGCAGAAUUCAGUGAGUCAUCGAAUCUUUGAACGCACAUUGCGCCCUGUGGUAUUCCGCAGGGCAUGCCUGUUCGAGCGUCAUUUCAACCCUCAAGCCCCGCUUGGUGUUGGGCCCCGCCCGCCGUGGCCGGCCCUAAAGACAGUGGCGGCGCCGCCUGGCCCUCAGCGUAGUACAGCUCUCGCUCCAGGGUCCGGCGGCCGCCUGCCAGAACCCCCCCAACUCUGUGGUUGACCUCGGAUCAGGUAGGGAUACCCGCUGAACUUAAGCAUAUCAAAAGCGGAGGA